AACCAAGCGCGGGUAAACGGCGGGAGUAA
rnacentral:snRNA from 1 species